UCUCCAUCGAUUCACCCGGGGAGCCCUGCCCACCGAGGCCGAGGGGCGGGCUCCUGUGCGCAGCUGCCCCGCAGCAGGCGCCCUCGGCCUACGGCGCCGCCCCAUUUUUUCUAAUACUUGGACUCGAACUAGUGGGGGUCACUGUUAGGCGAAGAAAGGAAUGACCUCCAAGGUCACAUGCAAGCAAACUUUGGUCUCAACUCAACAGGAAAUUGCACCGAAAUCGCUGUCGCUAGCGCCUUACAAACACCAUGAUGAGUGAUGUAGCUCUCCUGCUGCCAGCUUACCUAUCAUCGGCUGUAACACGCCCUCGGCAAUUUUAAUGAGCUGCUGGUAGAUCUGAAUGGAAAGGUCACUCAGCACCUGACGGUAUUCGGCCAUCAAAUGAAGUGCUGGUUCUUAGGAGAGAGAUGGAGUCAAGCCAACUGCAAAGAAGGCAAGACUGAAAGGAAGGGCAUAUCCUUUUACUAACCCAGGGAGAAGAGUCUGUCAAAAUUGGUUCUGGCACAAAAGAUGGAAUAAAGCUUUAAAAAUGGU